ACGGGUGAGUAACACGUAGGUAACCUGCCUAUGAGACUGGGAUAACUAUCGGAAACGAUAGCUAAGACCGGAUAACUGGUUUUCUCGCAUGAGAGAAUCAUGAAACACGGAGCAAUCUGUGGCUUAUAGAUGGGCCUGCGGCGCAUUAGCUAGUUGGUAGGGUAAUGGCCUACCAAGGCGACGAUGCGUAGCCGACCUGAGAGGGUGACCGGCCACACUGGGACUGAGACACGGCCCAGACUCCUACGGGAGGCAGCAGUAGGGAAUCUUCCGCAAUGGACGCAAGUCUGACGGAGCAACGCCGCGUGAGUGAUGAAGGUUUUCGGAUCGUAAAGCUCUGUUGCCCUAGACGAACAGCAUGAGGAGUAACUGCCUUGUGUGUGACGGUAUAGGAGAAGAAAGCCCCGGCUAACUACGUGCCAGCAGCCGCGGUAAUACGUAGGGGGCAAGCGUUGUCCGGAAUUAUUGGGCGUAAAGCGCGCGCAGGCGGUUAAUUAAGUUGGGUGUUUAAGCCCGGGGCUCAACCCCGGUUCGCAUCCAAAACUGGUUGACUUGAGUGUAGGAGAGGAAAGUGGAAUUCCACGUGUAGC
rnacentral:rRNA from 1 species